rnacentral:rRNA from 1 species
AGUGAACGCUGGCGGUAGGCCUAACACAUGCAAGUCGAACGGCAGCACAGUAAGAGCUUGCUCUUACGGGUGGCGAGUGGCGGACGGGUGAGGAAUACAUCGGAAUCUACUUUUUCGUGGGGGAUAACGUAGGGAAACCUACGCUAAUACCGCAUACGACCUACGGGUGAAAGCAGGGGAUCUUCGGACCUUGCGCGAUUGAAUGAGCCGAUGUCGGAUUAGCUAGUUGGCGGGGUAAAGGCCCACCAAGGCGACGAUCCGUAGCUGGUCUGAGAGGAUGAUCAGCCACACUGGAACUGAGACACGGUCCAGACGCCUACGGGAGGCAGCAGUGGGGAAUAUUGGACAAUGGGCGCAAGCCUGAUCCAGCCAUACCGCGUGGGUGAAGAAGGCCUUCGGGUUGUAAAGCCCUUUUGUUGGGAAAGAAAAGCAGCAGGUUAAUACCCCGCUGUUCUGACGGUACCCAAAGAAUAAGCACCGGCUAACUUCGUG